AUUGAACGCUGGCGGCAGGCCUAACACAUGCAAGUCGAGCGGAUGAAGGGAGCUUGCUCCUGGAUUCAGCGGCGGACGGGUGAGUAAUGCCUAGGAAUCUGCCGGGUAGUGGGGGAUAACGUCCGGAAACGGGCGCUAAUAACGCAUACGUCCUGAGGGAGAAAGAGGGGGAUCUUCGGACCGCACGCUAUCAGAUGAGCCUAGGUCGGAUUAGCUAGUUGGUGGGGUAAGGGCCUACCAAGUCGACGAUCCGUGGCUGGUCUGAGAGGAUGAUCAGUCACACUGGAACUUGGACACGGUCCAGACUCCUACGGGAGGCAGCAGAGGCCAACAGUGGACAAUAGUCGAAAACCUUGUCCAACCAUGCCACGUGUGUUAAGACGGUCUUCGGUGUGUGAAGCCCGUUUAGUUGGUAGGAAGGGCAGUAAGUUAUUACCUUGCUUUUUUGACGUUACCGACAGAAUAAGCACCGGCUAACUUCGUG
rnacentral:rRNA from 1 species